CCUACGGGUGGCAGCAGUGGGGAAUAUUGGACAAUGGGGGGAACCCUGAUCCAGCGACGCCGCGUGAGUGAAGAAGUAUUUCGGUAUGUAAAGCUCUAUCAGCAGGGAAGAAAGAAAUGACGGUACCUGACUAAGAAGCCCCGGCUAACUACGUGCCAGCAGCCGCGGUAAUACGUAGGGGGCAAGCGUUAUCCGGAUUUACUGGGUGUAAAGGGAGCGUAGACGGUUACGCAAGUCUGGAGUGAAAGGCGGGGGCCCAAACCCCGGACUGCUUUGGAAACUGUAUAACGGGAGUUAAGGAGAGGUAAGUGGAAUUCCUAGGGGAGCGGUGAAAUGCGUAGAUAUUAGGAGGAACACCAGUGGCGAAGGCGGCUUACUGGACUGUAACUGACGUUGAGGCUCGAAAGCGUGGGGAGCAAACAGGAUUAGAUACCCCAGUAGUC
rnacentral:rRNA from 1 species